rnacentral:misc_RNA from 1 species
GAUGAAGAACGCAGCGAAAUGCGAUAAGUAAUGCGAAUUGCAGAAUUCAGUGAAUCAUCGAAUCUUUGAACGCACAUUGCGCCCGCUAGUAUUCUGGCGGGCAUGCCUGUCUGAGCGUCAUUUCAACCCUCGCCCCCGGCUUUUGCUGGGAGCGGUGUUGGGGAUCGGCCGCCCGUCACUGGGAGGCCGGCCCCGAAAUAGAGUGGCGACCACGCCGUGUGCUCCUCUGCGUAGUAGCAAAUCACCUCGCAGGCGGACAGCGGUGCGGCCUGCCGUAAAACCCCCAACUCUUUCUGGUUGACCUCAGAUCAGGUAGGAAUACCCGCUGAACUUAAGCAUAUCAAUAAGCGGAGGA